rnacentral:rRNA from 1 species
UACGGAGGGUGCAAGCGUUAUCCGGAUUCACUGGGUUUAAAGGGUGCGUAGGCGGGCAGGUAAGUCAGUGGUGAAAUCUCCGGGCUUAACCCGGAAACUGCCGUUGAUACUAUCUGUCUUGAAUAUUGUGGAGGUAAGCGGAAUAUGUCAUGUAGCGGUGAAAUGCUUAGAUAUGACAUAGAACACCAAUUGCGAAGGCAGGUGACUAAGCCGUAACUGACGCUGAUGCACGAAAGCGUGGGGAUCAAACAGG